CAUGAAAAGGAGGGCAGGAGAAUUCCUUUUCUCCCUGACCUUGCAGCCUGAUGAAGAACUACUGGUGAGAUUAUUCCUAGAAACUCAAGAACCAAACCAAGUGUUACUGCUGCCGUGGCUGAAGGAGUAUAAUAUGGAACAGGCAAUACAGAUUUCCCAGGGAAAAGAGCAGUGAGACCAGACAAAGCUGCUGUGGGAGAAGAUCUGCAGCAGCUGGAUACACCCCUGAGAGGGACUGAACAGCAGAGACCUAUUUUAGAUGAAGGACACCAAGAAAUCAAUUUCCUAACUAGAUACAACAUUCUUCAAGAGAAUUAGGAGACCCAAAGCAGUGAAUAUUGAUGAUGAAGUGGCAGUGACUCCCAUGAGCUCUUCAGUACCCGAUGCCAUA